GAUGAACGCUGGCGGCGUGCCUAAUACAUGCAAGUCGAGCGAACAGAUGAGGCGCUUGCUCCUCUCACGUUAGCGGCGGACGGGUAAGUAACACGUGGAUAACCUACCUAUAAGACUUGGAUAACUUCGGGAAACCGGAGCUAAUACCGGAUAAUAUAUUGAACCGCAUGGUUCAAUAGUGAAAGACGGUUUUGCUGUCACUUAUAGAUGGAUCCUCGCCGCAUUAGCUAGUUGGUACGGUAACGGCUUACCAAGGCAGCGAUGCGUAGCCGACCUGAGAGGGUGUAGGGCGACUGUGAGAGUGAGAGACGAUACAGAGACCUACGGGAGGCAGAAGUAGGGAAGCGUGCGAGAUGGGGGGAAGACUGACGGAGGGACGCAGCGUGAGUGAUGAAGGUCUGCGGAGCGGAAAACUCUGUUAUGAGGGAAGAACAAAUGUGUAAGGAACGAUGCACGUCUUGACGGUACCUAAUCAGAAAGCCACGGCUAACUACGUG
rnacentral:rRNA from 1 species